rnacentral:sRNA from 1 species
UAACCUUUCGAUAAAGUGCACAGCGUUA